rnacentral:rRNA from 1 species
AGGACGAACGCUGGCGGCGUGCUUAACACAUGCAAGUCGUACGGUAAGGCCCUUUCGGGGGUACACGAGUGGCGAACGGGUGAGUAACACGUGAGUAACCUGCCCACAACUUUGGGAUAACGCUAGGAAACUGGUGCUAAUACUGGAUAUGUGCUCCUGCUGCAUGGUGGGGGUUGGAAAGCUCCGGCGGUUGUGGAUGGACUCGCGGCCUAUCAGCUUGUUGGUGGGGUAGUGGCCUACCAAGGCGGCGACGGGUAGCCGGCCUGAGAGGGUGACCGGCCACAUUGGGACUGAGAUACGGCCCAGACUCCUACGGGAGGCAGCAGUGGGGAAUCUUGCGCAAUGGGCGAAAGCCUGACGCAGCAACGCCGCGUGGAGGACGAAUGCUUUCUGAGUUGUAAACUCCUUUCAGCAGGGACGAUUGUGACGGUACCUGCAGAAGAAGCACCGGCCAACUACGUGCCAGCAGCCGCGGUAA